rnacentral:rRNA from 1 species
AGAUCACGGGUUCAGUGGCAAACGGGUGAGUAAUAAGUACGAACGUACCUCAAAGUGGGACAUAAUUCGCCGAAAGGCGAACUAAUUUCCCAUGUUCCGCCUCUGGCGGAAAAGUCGCAAGACGCUUUGCGAGCGGCGUACUCGCUACCAGCUAGUUGGUAAGGUAAUGGCUUACCAAGGCUAUGACGGCUACCGGCUCUUAGCGGAGAGUCCGGCACAAUGGGACUGAGACACGGCCCAUACACCUACGGGUGGCAGCAGUUAGGAAUAUUGCGCAAUGGACGAAAGUCUGACGCAGCGACAUCGCGUGGAGGAUGAAGGCCCUCGGGUCUUAAACUCCUUUUAAUCGGCAGCCUGCCGGUUGAAUAAGCAACCACUAACUAUGUGCCAGCAGUCGCGGUAAUACAUAGGUUGCAAGCGUUACCCGGUUUUAUUGGGCGUAAAGAGUCUGUAGGUGGUUUGUUAAGUCGUGUUUCAAAGAUCCCGAUUCAAUCGGGGCAAGGGGCAUGAUACUGGCAAACUUGAGUUAUAUCGGGGUUACUGGAAUUUGCAGUGUAGGGGUAAAAUCCGUGGAUACUGCAAAGAACACCAAGCGCAAAGGCGGGUAACCAGGUAUGUACUGACACUCAGAGACGAAAGCUAGGGUAGCCAAUCAGAUUAGAGACCUGAGUAGUCCUAGCCGUAAACCUUGUCUGUUAAUUCUUCCCCGAUUCUUCGGGAGAGGAUGCAAGCUAACGCGUUAAACAGACCGCCUGGGGAGUAUAGUCGCAAGGCUGAAACUCAAACGAAUUGGCGGGGAGGCGCACAACCAGUGGAGCAUGUGGUUCAAUUCGAUACUAAGCGAUGAACCUUACCUGGGUUUGACAUUCUAAUGACAGUCCCGGAAACGGGAUCUUCGUAAGACAUUAGAACAGCUGUUGCAUGGCUGUCGUCAGCUCGUGACGUGAGUUGUUCUCUUAAGUGAGGUAACAGCGCAACCCCCAUCCGGUGUUACUGUGUCACCGGAGACUGCCCAGCAUUAUUUUGUUGGGAGGAAGGAGGGGACGACGUCAAGUCAUCAUGAUGCUUAUAUCCAGGGCUACACACAUCCUACAAUGAGUUGUACAACGGGUAGCCAAGCCGUAAGGCGGAGCUAAUCCCUUAAAACAACUCUCAGUGGGGAUUGCCGGCUGAAACUCGCCGACAUGAACUCGGAAUUGGUAGUAAUCGCGGAUCAGCAGACCGCGGUGAAUACGUUCUCGCCUCUUGCACACACUGCCCGUCAAAUCAGCAAAGUUGGGGGUACCCGACAUCCGCCUCAGGCGGACUAAGGUAAAUCCAGCGAUGAGGGUUAAGUCGUAACAAGGUA